GCCGAGGUAGCUCAGUGGUAGAGCGCGGCCCUGAAAAGGCCGGCGUGGCGAGUUCGAUUCUCGCCCUCGGCA
rnacentral:tRNA from 1 species